rnacentral:rRNA from 1 species
UACGUAGGGGGCAAGCGUUGUCCGGAAUCAUUGGGCGUAAAGAGCGUGUAGGCGGCUCGAUAAGUCUGCUGUGAAAGUCCAGGGUUCAACCCUGGAAGGCCGGUGGAAACUGUCGGGCUAGAGUCCGGAAGAGGCGAGUGGAAUUCCCGGUGUAGCGGUGAAAUGCGCAGAUAUCAGGAGGAACACCGAUGGCGAAGGCAGCUCACUGGGACGGUACUGACGCUGAGGCGCGAAAGCGUGGGGAGCAAACAGG